rnacentral:rRNA from 1 species
CUUAGUGGCGGACGGGUGAGUAACGCGUGAGGAACCUGCCUUUCAGAGGGGGACAACAGUUGGAAACGACUGCUAAUACCGCAUAACGUACGGGUAUCGCAUGGUACUGGUACCAAAGAUUUAUCGCUGAGAGAUGGCCUCGCGUCUGAUUAGCUGGUUGGCGGGGUAAAGGCCCACCAAGGCGACGAUCAGUAGCCGGCCUGAGAGGGUGGACGGCCACAUUGGGACUGAGACACGGCCCAAACUCCUACGGAAGGCAGCAG